CCCUGUGGCUCAGUUGGUAGAGCAUGGUGUUUGCAAUGCCAGGGUUGUGGGUUCAAUUCCCACAGGGG
rnacentral:tRNA from 1 species